GCCCGGAUGGCGGAACGGUUUACGCAGAGGACUUAAAAUCCUUGCCCCAAAAGGGUUGUGGGUUCGAAUCCCACUCCGGGCA
rnacentral:tRNA from 6 species